ACUGACAGCCAUGGUUACCGCGGCUGCUGGCACGGAGUUAGCCGGUGCUUCUUCUGUGAGUGAUGUCCUUCCUGCCGGCUAUUAACCCGCAGGCCUUCUUCCUCACUGAAAGUGCUUUACAACCCGAAGGCCUUCUUCACACACGCGGCAUGGCUGGAUCAGGGUUGCCCCCAUUGUCCAAUAUUCCCCACUGAUGCCUCCCGUAGGAGUCUGGGCCGUGUCUCAGUCCCAGUGUGGCUGAUCAUCCUCUCAGACCAGCUACGGAUCGUCGCCUUGGUGAGCCGUUACCUCACCAACCAGCUAAUCCGACAUAGGCUCAUCCGAUAGCGCGAGGCCCGAAGGUCCCCCGCUUUCCCCCGUAGGGCGUAUGCGGUAUUAGCCUGGGUUUCCCCAGGUUAUCCCCCACUACCGGGCAGAUUCCUAUGCAUUACUCACCCGUCCGCCGCUCGCCACCAGGGAGCAAGCUCCCCGUGCUGCCGCUCGACUUGCAUGUGUUAGGCCUGCCGCCAGCGUUCAAU
rnacentral:rRNA from 1 species